rnacentral:rRNA from 1 species
AGUGAACGCUGGCGGUAGGCCUAACACAUGCAAGUCGAACGGCAGCACAGUAAGAGCUUGCUCUUACGGGUGGCGAGUGGCGGACGGGUGAGGAAUACAUCGGAAUCUACUUUUUCGUGGGGGAUAACGUAGGGAAACUUACGCUAAUACCGCAUACGACCUACGGGUGAAAGCAGGGGAUCUUCGGACCUUGCGCGAUUGAAUGAGCCGAUGUCGGAUUAGCUAGUUGGCGGGGUAAAGGCCCACCAAGGCGACGAUCCGUAGCUGGUCUGAGAGGAUGAUCAGCCACACUGGAACUGAGGCACGGUCCAGACUCCUACGGGAGGCAGCAGUGGGGAAUAUUGGACAAUGGGCGCAAGCCUGAUCCAGCCAUACCGCGUGGGUGAAGAAGGCCUUCGGGUUGUAAAGCCCUUUUGUCGGGAAAGAAAAGCAGCAGGUUAAUACCCCGCUGUUCUGACGGUACCCAAAGAAUAAGCACCGGCUAACUUCGUG